rnacentral:rRNA from 1 species
UGGGGAAUUUUGGACAAUGGGCGAAAGCCUGAUCCAGCAAUGCCGCGUGUGUGAUGAAGGCCUUCGGGUUGUAAAGCACUUUUGGCGGGAACGAAAGGGACUGUGCCAAUACCACGGUUCGAUGACGGUACCCGCAGAAUAAGCACCGGCUAACUACGUGCCAGCAGCCGCGGUAAUACGUAGGGUGCAAGCGUUAAUCGGAAUUACUGGGCGUAAAGAGUGCGCAGGCGGUUUUGCAAGACCGAUGUGAAAUCCCCGGGCUUAACCUGGGAACUGCAUUGGUGACUGCAAGGCUAGAGUGUGUCAGAGGGAGGUGGAAUUCCGCAUGUAGCAGUGAAAUGCGUAGAUAUGCGGAGGAACACCGAUGGCGAGGGCAGCCUCCUGGGAUAACACUGACGCU